GACGAACGCUGGCGGCGUGCUUAACACAUGCAAGUCGAACGAUGAAGCCGGAGCUUGCUCUGGUGAAUUAGUGGCGAACGGGUGAGUAACACGUGAGUAACCUGCCCUUGACUCUGGGAUAACUGCUAGAAAUGGUAGCUAAUACCGGAUACGACCCUCGGCGGCAUCGCCAGGGGGUGGAAAGAAUUUCGGUCAAGGAUGGACUCGCGGCCUAUCAGCUAGUUGGUGAGGUAACGGCUCACCAAGGCGACGACGGGUAGCCGGCCUGAGAGGGUGACCGGCCACACUGGGACUGAGACACGGCCCAGACUCCUACGGGAGGCAGCAGCGGGGAAUAUUGCACAAUGGGCGCAAGCCUGAUGCAGCAACGCCGCGUGAGGGAUGACGGCCUUCGGGUUGUAGACCUCUUUUAGUAGGGAAGAAGCGAAAGUGACGGUACCUGCAGAAAAAGCACCGGCUAACUACGUGCCAGCCGCCGCAGUAA
rnacentral:rRNA from 1 species